UUUUUUGCUGUUGAGUUGUAUAUGUUGUUUGUAUAUUUUAGAGAUGAAGCCCUUGUCAGUUGCAUCAUUUGAAACAAUUUUCUCCCAUUCUGUAAGUUGUCCUUUUGUUUUCUUUUUGGUUUCCUUUGCUGUGCAAAAAGUUUGCCAGUUUGAUUAGGUCCCAUUGGUUUAUUUUUGCUUUAUUUCAGUUGCUUUGGGAGACUGACCUGAGAAAACAUUUGUAAGGUUGAUGUCAGAGAAUGUGUUGCCUAUGUUCUCUUCUAGGAGUUUGAUGAUGUCUUGUCUUAUAUUUAAGUCUUUCAUAUCUUUUUUUUUAAACUUCAUCCAAAUUUUAUUUCAGAAAUUAAUUUCCUCUCUUGUUUGCAUUUAUAAUAAUUUCCUUUCAACUAAAUUUUCUCUUUUUUAAAAGUAAAAUCUUAAUAAAAAUAUUGCUUUAAGAUAUUUAUUGGCCAUAGCAAAUAAAUCAUUUACUCUUUCCCUUCCUUCAUGCUCAAACUUCACAAAACUAAUCUGUACAGACUGCUUAUGCUCCCUUACCCUCCACCCUAGUUUCAGAUCAAACUCGGAUUCCAGCAUGAAGAUGUUAAGCCACAUGCAGACAGAGCAAUGCAACUAAAAUCUGAAUUGUGCAAAAUUGAUCUGUAUCAGCAUCUCCCUUGGUCUCUAAUAGACGUUCUCUAGCUCUCGUGGGUCAUUUUCCAUAUUGCUGGCUGUGCUUGGCUGCAUUCAGGCUCUGAAAUCCCACUUCUUUUCAGAAUGUUCCCCUUUCCUCUCAUAGGACCUUGUAGGGUCAUCUGCUGUGAUCACUGUGGCAGCCUCAGAACCCAUACCUGGCUUGGUGAAUGUUGCCUGGAGUUCUGGGCUUGCCCCUCCUCCCCAGUACAGGUCAUUCAAAAUUCUUUACUCAGCAUUCAAUGAUUAUCUACUCAUGAAAUCCAAUGGCUUUAUUUUUUUCUAAUCAUGCUUCUUGUCUUCUUUGCAUUAUUGGAUGUUGUUGACUACCUGCUUCUUGACUUUCGUCAUGACUGUGGAGUUUGACUUCCCCAUUCCUGACUUCACCUCUGCCUUCCCAACCUCCCCCAAAGGUCUCCCUCAACUUCCUUUCCCCAUGUUACUAUAUGUUUUCUCUAGUAGUUAGCGUUUAUCUGACUAGCUCCAACUAUUACUCCAAAGAAUUCAGGUCCUUGAUGUCUUCUUUUCCCUACUGUCUCAUUUUCAGCAAAUGAUCUGUGUGGCACAUCCUCUCACUCAGUUUCUUGACCUCAUUUCCACAUGCACUGGUGCUUCCCCACUCUAGUUCCGGCUCCCCUAACUCCUCUUUGUCCUCCUCUUCCUACAUGGUUAUGUGCCUUCUGAUUGCACUCCUCUUUGGUUCCUCAGGAGUUGCAGAUUGACUUCCCUAGAUCUUUAUUUUGAUUCCAGACACUUUUCCUUAAAAGACAAACAAACUGAAAACCAAAAAAAACAAACAAAUAAACAAAAAAACCUCACUCUUUUACAUCAAACUCCCUAAACUUGUAUUUAAAAUCCUCGCACUCUUGGGAGUUCCCGUCAUUGCUCAGUGGUUAAUGAAUCCAACUAGGAACCAUGAGGUUUCAGGUUUGAUCCCUGGCCUUGCUCAGUGGGAGAUCUGGUGUUGCCGUGAGCUGUGGUGUAGGUUACAGACUCGGCUUGGAUCCCGCGUUGUUGUGGCUGUGGUGUAGGCUGGUGGCUAUAGCUCCGAUUAGAUGCCUAGCCUAGGAACCUCCAUAUGCCGUGGGAGCGGCCCUAGAAAUGGCAAAAGACAAAAAAAAUAAAAAAUAAUAAAAUAAAAAAUAAAAUCCUCACACUCUUAAUAACUACCUUUCUGUUAUUUAUUAUUUCAUAAAUCCUUCCACCAGUGGCCCUGUACCCCCCUGUUUCUUCACAGAAGUUUCAUACAUGUUGCCUAAAUUAAAUAGUUUCCCCUCAUUUCUUGCUAUUGAAGUCUCACCUCCAUAGUUUAAGUUCUAGGCCCAGUGCCACCUCUUUCAUGAUACCAUUUUUAAGCACUUUGACUAGAAGUAGUGGGUUUUCCCUCUGAACUCCGACAAUUCUUUGAAUUAUUAAAGGGUCAUUUCUCAUAAUGAAUCUUGAAUUACAACUUUAAUGUGCAUAUCAACUCUCUUUUAUUCCUCUGAGUCCCCUACAAUGUCUAUCAAACCAACUUGGAGAUUGUAGGGAAUAAUAAAUAUUUCUUGAAUGAAUCGUAACUCCUUAUUUUGGAAUGUUUGGGUCAUGUCUUCUCCAGAGGUCAUAUGCAGAAAGGAGAACACAUAAAAGCUUUAUUAUUAAAUCUUAAAAUUUUCAUGCCUGUGAAUCAGAAAUUUUUACUGGUUAUUACCCUUGCUUUAUAUUUGGUUGUAAUUCAAGGUGACAGUUAAGACUUAAAAUGCCCUCUUGUCUCUGAUACUGCUUAUUUUUCCCAGGUAGUUCUGUUUACCCUUGUUUGCACCUGCAUCCAUAUUUAAGGCCCUUCCUUCAUUCUUUCCUUCUUUUUGUCUGGCAAGCAUAGAGUUGGUGAGGAGCUUUCCUCCUUACAGUAUGUUUAAACUUAAGUCAUUUACAUUCUGAGAAAUAUCCUGGGUGCUUUGGCCUCUCUUUGGUGAUGAACUCAGAACUUUGCUGUCUGCUUACACACUGUGCCUCUGGUUCUGGGAAUGAAUGGUGUCGUGAUGCCCUGAAAAUAACACUCAAAGCAAUUUAUAAUCAAAUCAGGGUUUGUCUGGAGAGUUUUUAUUAUUCUCACAUUCUUUCAAUAUAAGCUUUCAAAAUAAACUUAAUCUUGUUCAAAAGUUUAAAUGUUAGGAGUUCCCGUCGUGGCUCAGUGGUUAACAAAUCUGACUAGGAACCAUGAGGUUGCGGGUUCGAUCCCUGGUCUUGCUCAGUGGGUUAAGGAUCUGGCGUUGCUGUGAGCUGUGGUGUAGGUUGCAGAUGUGGCUCGGAUCCCACAUUGCUGUGGCUGUGGUGUAGGCUGGUGCUACAGCUCCGAUUCGACCCCUAGCCUGGGAACCUCUAUGUGCCAUGGGUGUGGCCCAAGAAAUGGCAAAAAGACAAAAAAAAAAAAAAAGUUUAAAUGGUUGUAAGUUAAUAAUUAUGGGUACAUUGGGAAUAUGUGGAACUGUGUUAGGGUUUCUAUUUAUAUCCUUUUUGAACUUUAUUAAUUUGUGCUGUCCUGCAGUUUGCUGCUUUGCAUAGAAUUCAGAACCAGUCUUGGAGAAUUAGCACUCAUAGAAACAGAAUUUUGAGGUCAUCACAUCUAUAAUCCUCAUACAGUCUCCUACUCAGGCCAAACUCCAGUGUGACUUAGUUACCACCUGUCCCUUUCAGUUUCGUAUUGCUGUAAUCACACCUCUAUAUAUUUGCAGUAGCAGUUGACUCCGGCAUGUUGUUAGAAAGUUACAGCAUGCUCAUGACAGGAAGUGGGUAUUUGAGAGGGAAUAAGACUGCAUUUGGACCUGGGCAAGGAUAGCUCUGUGCCCUUAUUAGCUGCUGUUUGUUGUUUUGUUGUUGUUGUUCUUCUUCUAAAAUAAAACACUUUAUCUCCAAAUUUGUUUCAAAAGGUUCUUUCUUUUGCCCUGAGAAGAAUUUUCAAGACUAAACCUUUCUACCUAUUGGAGAGGCUGAUUGUUAUUGAAGCAUGUGAAACAACGAAGACUAUGGGAAUCCUACUGUGUUUUUGUAAGUCAUAUAUUUCAUUUUAUGAGUAAUUUUUAUGUUUAAAAAAUCCUGCUCAUUAUAGGAAAUUUUAAAAGCAUAUAGACAGUAGAUACAUGAAAUAAAAAAUUACUCAUUAUUCACAACUUCAAUGUCUGUAAAUCUCCUUAAUGAUAAUCAUCGUUAGUACUUUGGUUACACUAACCAAAUAUAUAUAUGACAGAUAUGGUCAUAUUAUUAGUUAUGCUCAGUGUUUGUGGCAUCUCUCCCACCCGUACAGCUUCAGGGACCAAGCCCUCUAUCCAUCAGGUCUUCCCACCUAGUCGUCUGGGGAGUUUCUAAAGCAGAUUCAUGUGCCCUGAGGGAGUGAUGCACUGCCCUCCCUUCCCUGGAUACAGGUGGAAGUCUUUGGGGACGCAUCCCCAUGUCACUAUGCUCAACAACUUCAACAGUUGAAGGUACCAUCAUUCUGGAGGGGUUUCAUGGCAGAGUUCUUUGGGUUGUAGUAUGUUACAUAGGUGAGCCAACCUGCUUUAUUUGUGGGGGGAGGGCAGAUUUGAUAAAUGACCUUCCUUCUCCAUGACAGGCCAGCAGGUUGCUCCACUGGGAACAGAAUCAAUGAAGGCCAUCACUUGAAACUCAAAUUUUCUUUAGUCUGGUCUUCAUCCCUCUUGUCUGUAUCUGAUUUUUAUUGAUUUCAUCUGAAAUCCAUUUGAUAUACUAUCUUAGUGGCCAUAACCUUUAUUUCCUGACAUUUAGUUGCUUAGAUGUGCCUCUGUUUCCACAGCUUACAUGCUAAUUGCCUUGAUUAAACAUUGUGAAUUCCUACAUGAAGAAGUUUCUAUCGUGAAAGAAGUAUUAAUAAAAUAGUGAUGAAUCAAGGCACAAGGCAAUGCUGGUUGAAUGAUAAAAUUAACAAAAUUGUAUCUAUGCAGCAACUAUAUAGAACUUUCUGUGCUUAAUUGCCACGAUCCUUAAUAAACAAGCUAUAUACACAUUGGUUAGAUACAGUACUUGAGUAGGAUUCAAGAUUGACUGGAUGAAUAGGAUGCUGUUGUUGAGACCACUGACUUCCCACGUGGAAUGAAAUGUGUGCUGUACUGAAGGACUCCACCUGCUGGGUCCUGAUUUUGUUCUCACUGAGCAUAAAGAUACUAGGGAACAAAUUUGUGUAAGCCAUGAAGCUUUGAUGAGUGGUUGUUCCAUACUGAAAAGGAUGCUGUCAAUAAUCAAAUGGUAAAUACUUAUUUAAGUCUAAUAGGAUAACACUGAAUAGGAAUAAAUUCCAUAGGAUAUAUUCCAAAGGUCAAUUACAUGGACACAGGUCAGAAGAAGUAUAGGUUAUCAGUAGAGCUUGCAGAGAAAGCCAGGGAUUUUUAGUUGGGUCAACUAUCUGUGGGGAAUAAAAUGCUACAUUAACUCUCAUAGUAAUGUCAGGUGUCAUCAACAAAAGUGUUACCACUUUCAGUCUCAAAGUAGAUUGCAACUAACUUCAUGCUGGAAUACCUAGAAUGUUGUGUUCUGAUCUGGGUACUGUACUUCAGGUGAGGUGAUGAAAGACUAAAGAGGCCAGGAUGAUGACCUAGCCCCAAAUCAAGCAAUAUUAGAAAAACAAUGGCUCUGAGCUUGCACUAGUAAAAAAAAAGUUAUUGAAGCAUUAUAGCUGUCUUAAAGCAUCAAUAAUACUUGCCAUGUUCAUUUUCUAUCACUCCUGGGAGAAGAACAGGGAGAGAGAGAAUUAACAUGUAUUUGGUACCUACUGUGUCCCCAGUGUGAGUUAGUUUAAUAUCUGCCUACAAUUUCACUAAUGUUUCACAGCAACUUUAUCAAGUAGAGUAUCUUAUAGUUGAGAAUUCUGAGACACAGAGAACCUUAGAAACUUCUUCAAGGUCAUAUGCAUAGUGUUGGAGUUAGAGAAUUUGCCUUCUGUGGCAGACACACAUGAUUCUUUGGGGAGACAACUUCCCACCCUUCUCAGUCCUUGUGGUUUGGGAGGGUCUAGAUUUCCUUCCUAAAUUCAGAGGUAAGCAUGUGGUCUUUUCUGGCUCGGUCAGAACAUGGGAACUCAGGUUCUCAAUGACUCAGUCCAUGCAUGUGGGAUCAACUCUAAGGCCUUUGAUGGAGAUAUUCGGGAAGAAUCAUUCUUGCUUUUCAGUGAGAUUCUUAAAGACUAAGGUGUAAAUGUAAGCUGCUGGCAGGCAGGCAGACAUUUUGUCACCGUGUGGCAAAGAAUGGUGCCUGACAGUGGCCACCAACACAAAGGAAACAGAACUGACAGUGUCCUGCUCUGAGCAGCUGAAAUAUAUUUUAAAAUUUAAUCUUUACCAUGUAUGUGAGGAUGUUUCCAUUGUUAUCUUAAUUUUGCAAGGGAAUAAACAGAAUUAUUGAUAAAAUUGAAUUCAUAAUGCUCUUCCUAGCAGAACCAGGAUUCACACCCAGUUUUGACACAUUUCUCAGAUAUCAUUGAAUAUAUCUCUAUUUUCACUAGAAUUUUACAAAUCAAAAUAAAACUAAAUACAUGAUGAUUUUGCAGCUUUUACUGCAUCAAAUCUGAUGUUAAUUAUGAAUUUCUGGAGUUCCUGUUGUGGCUCAGUGGUAACGAACCCGACUAGUAUCCAUGAGGACAUGGGUUCAAUCCCUGGCCUCACUCAGUGGGUUAUGGGUCUGACAUUACUGUGAGCUAUGGUGUAGGUCACAGAUGUGGCUCAGAUCCCUCGUUGCUUUGGCUGUAGCAUAGGCUGUUGGCUACACUACAGCUCCAACUGGACCCCUAGCCUGGGAACUUCCAUAUGCCGCAGGUAAGGC
rnacentral:lncRNA from 1 species